rnacentral:rRNA from 2 species
UGGCGGCGUGCCUAAUACAUGCAAGUCGAGCGGAGUUUUGAAAAGCUUGCUUUUCAAAACUUAGCGGCGGACGGGUGAGUAACACGUGGGCAACCUGCCCUUGAGACGGGGAUAACUCCGGGAAACCGGAGCUAAUACCGGAUAACACAUAUCUUCGCAUGAGGAUAUGUUAGAAGGUGGCUUUUAGCUACCACUCAAGGAUGGGCCCGCGGCGCAUUAGCUAGUUGGUGAGGUAACGGCUCACCAAGGCGACGAUGCGUAGCCGACCUGAGAGGGUGAUCGGCCACACUGGGACUGAGACACGGCCCAGACUCCUACGGGAGGCAGCAGUAGGGAAUCUUCCGCAAUGGACGAAAGUCUGACGGAGCAACGCCGCGUGAGUGAUGAAGGUUUUCGGAUCGUAAAGCUCUGUUGUUAGGGAAGAACAAGUAUCUGUUGAAUAAGCAGGUACCUUGACGGUACCUAACCAGAAAGCCACGGCUAACUACGUGCCAGCAGCCGCGGUAAUACGUAGGUGGCAAGCGUUGUCCGGAAUUAUUGGGCGUAAAGCGCGCGCAGGCGGUUCCUUAAGUCUGAUGUGAAAGCCCACGGCUCAACCGUGGAGGGUCAUUGGAAACUGGGGAACUUGAGUGCAGAAGAGGAGAGCGGAAUUCCACGUGUAGCGGUGAAAUGCGUAGAGAUGUGGAGGAACACCAGUGGCGAAGGCGGCUCUCUGGUCUGUAACUGACGCUGAGGCGCGAAAGCGUGGGGAGCGAACAGGAUUAGAUACCCUGGUAGUCCACGCCGUAAACGAUGAGUGCUAAGUGUUAGAGGGUUUCCGCCCUUUAGUGCUGCAGCAA